UACGGAGGGUGCAAGCGUUAUCCGGAUUCACUGGGUUUAAAGGGUGCGUAGGCGGACAGGUAAGUCAGUGGUGAAAGCUCUGGGCUUAACCCAGAAACUGCCGUUGAUACUAUUUGUCUUGAAUAUCCUGGAGGUAGGCGGAAUAUGUCAUGUAGCGGUGAAAUGCUUAGAUAUGACAUAGAACACCGAUAGCGAAGGCAGCUUACUACAGGAUGAUUGACGCUGAGGCACGAAAGCGUGGGGAGCAAACAGG
rnacentral:rRNA from 1 species